rnacentral:tRNA from 1 species
GCGGAAGUGGCGGAACUGGCAGACGCGUACGGUUCAGGGCCGUAUGGCCGAAAGGUCUUGAGGGUUCAAGUCCCUCCUUCCGCA